GACGAACGCUGGCGGCGUGCUUAACACAUGCAAGUCGAACGGAAAGGCCCUGCUUGCAGGGUACUCGAGUGGCGAACGGGUGAGUAACACGUGGGUGAUCUGCCCUGCACUUCGGGAUAAGCCUGGGAAACUGGGUCUAAUACCGGAUAGGAGCCAUUUUUAGUGUGAUGGUUGGAAAGUUUUUUCGGUGUAGGAUGAGCUCGCGGCCUAUCAGCUUGUUGGUGGGGUAAUGGCCUACCAAGGCGGCGACGGGUAGCCGGCCUGAGAGGGUGGACGGCCACAUUGGGACUGAGAUACGGCCCAGACUCCUACGGGAGGCAGCAGUGGGGAAUAUUGCACAAUGGGCGCAAGCCUGAUGCAGCGACGCCGCGUGGGGGAUGACGGCCUUCGGGUUGUAAACUCCUUUCGCUAGGGACGAAGCUUUUUGUGACGGUACAUAGAUAAGAAGCACCGGCUAACUACGUG
rnacentral:rRNA from 1 species